UUACGAUUCUCCUGCCUCAGCCUCCAGAGUCGCCCAGAUUACAAGUGUGUGCCACCACGCCCAGCUGGUUCCUUUGACCUUACUGCGAAUCCCAUUACCCAGGUCUUGGAAAGUAGCCCAGGUCUUGGAAAGUUGCUGCUGAUCCUCCCAAGAGGAGGAAACCCAAACUCCUGAUCUUCCUGUCUUAGCAUCCUGAGUAGCUUGGAUAAUAGGUGGCUUCUGUGGUUUAUAAUGAAGAGCCCUGCCUGGCGCACUGUCCUCUGUGUGACUUGGAUUCCUGG